UACAGAGGUCCCAAGCGUUGUUCGGAUUCAUUGGGCGUAAAGGGUGCGUAGGUGGCGUCGUAAGUCGGGUGUGAAAUCUCGGGGCUUAACUCCGAAACUGCAUUCGAUACUGCGGUGCUUGAGGACUGGAGAGGAGACUGGAAUUUACGGUGUAGCAGUGAAAUGCGUAGAGAUCGUAAGGAAGACCAGUGGCGAAGGCGGGUCGUCUGGACAGUUCCUGACACUGAGGCACGAAGGCCAGGGGAGCAAACGGG
rnacentral:rRNA from 1 species